rnacentral:rRNA from 1 species
GACGAACGCUGGCGGCGUGCCUAACACAUGCAAGUCGAACGAGUCCAGACUUCGGUCUGAGGCGAGUGGCGGACGGGUGAGUAACACGUGAGCAAUCUAUCUCUGUGCGGGGGACAACCCGGGGAAACCCGGGCUAAUACCGCAUGGUCAGUUCCCAGGCUCUGGGGAUUGGGAAAGGUGGCCUCUUUACAAUGCUGCCGUGCAGGGAGGAGCUCGCGGGCUAUCAGCUAGCUGGUGCGGUAAUGGCGCACCAGGGCGACGACGGCUACGGGGUCUGAGAGGACGACCCCGCACAUUGGAACUGAGACACGGUCCAGACUCCUACGGGAGGCAGCAGUGGGGAAUUUUGGGCAAUGGCCGAAAGGCUGACCCAGCGACGCCGCGUGUGGGAGGAAGCCCUUCGGGGUGUAAACCACUGUCGGGAGGGACGAACGAGGGAAGUGGGAAUACUGCUUCUCUGUGACGGUACCUUCAAAGGAAGCGCCGGCUAACUCUGUGCCAGCAGCC